GGAAGUUGCCCUGGUCACGGAGGAUGAGGCCGAUGAAGAUUUUCUUCUCAGAGGAGUACAGGAGCAUGAGCACGCGGAUCUCGCACAACACUUUGUAGGAAAAAUGCACUCAGCCGGCGAAGCCAUUGUCCUUGAUCUGGCACAGGCUCUUCAGCGUCUCCAGGUCCUUGGUGAAGUGGAACUGCACCAGGCGCGAGUUCCGCAACAGCAGCACAGGGUGGUCAGCAGCUGCUGCGGGAUGAGCUGCAUUUACAGCUUCCUCGGCCACUGGUCGGUCCUCAUGAUCUCCCCCUGGUUCACGUAGACGUGGGACGGCAGCCACCUCUUGGAUCGACUUUUGGGCUCAGGCCUGGGUUCCUGCCACUCCAUGACGCCUCUCCACACCAGGAACUUGUUGUUGACGAUCUGGACUGGGCCUGAGUUGACACUACCAGGUCCCACUGCUUGCUUGCGAGUAGUGAUGACCUGCCGGAUGGCGCUGACGAAGCCGCUCUGGUCGUAGGGGAUGAAGCCCAUGAAGAUCUUCCUCUUGGAAGAGUACAGGAGCAUGCGCACGCACAUCUCGCAGGGGGAGAUGUGGGGAAACAGCGUGCAGCCCGCGAAGCCGUUGCCCAUGAUGCGGCAGAGCCCACUGAGCAAGCAGCAGUCUCGAAAAACAGUAUUUGCCUGGAGACCCAAGUUACAAUCCUGGCUUAGUCAUGUACCAUCCAUGUGACUUGGACCAACAGAAGUCAUUCCUUGGUCCUGUGUCUCCAAGUAAAAGGAGAGCUUCCCUAAGGUUCUUUUCAGCUCUGAUAUUCAAGGAGUCCAUGAGUCCAGGACAGUUUCUCAUCUACCAGGAAUCCAGCUCAGGUUUUAUAUAGGAUCUGUACAAGUUAAACCUUGGUUACUCAGGUAGAAAACUGGUCACACUGCCCAAUAAAUCCUCCUGCUCUCUAAUUUCACCCAGUGCAGAGUCUAAUCAACAGCUCGAAUAGAAAUAAAAUAUUACCAGAUUCCCCUCCCCAACUUAUUUCAGACAAAUGGGCUCCUUUCUGAACCCAAGCCUAGGUAGGCCUCCUACGCAAAUCGCCUUCAGGCAGCGUCAACAGGCAGAGCCUUGAGCCUGUUUCUACUGCCACCCUGCAGCUUCUCACGCACUCAGACACUCUCUUCCCGUGACUUCUUAAUUCCCCUCUUGAUAUUUCUUUUAUUUAAAAUAAAUUUACAUAUAUUGUUUACUAAAAAAAUUAAAUGGAAAAAUAUACAUAACCUCAAAUUUACCAAUUUAACCAUUUUUAAGUGUCCAGUUAGGUGGCAUUAAGCACAUUCACAUUGGUGUGCAACCUAUUUACUUUUUCCAUUAAAAAAAUUAUAUGCCCUUACUAACAAAUGCAAAUAUCUUCUAAAGGUAAAAAAUGAAAACUGAAGGUCUCCCAGUCAUUCUUUCCUAAGGAAAUUACUUGAGUUUCUUGUGGAUCCUUCUAGCAAUUAAUAUACAUGUGUGUACUAUUUCGUAUUUAUACAGGCAGUUUUUAUUUUUAAAGAUUUAUACACAUUGUGUUGCCCCUUGCUUUUAUAUUUAAUAAAAUAUUUUGGAGCUGUUUCUAUGUUAACACACAUGGCUCUAUCUCAUUCUUUUCAUUGUUUUUAAAUGCGUGAUUAUGAGAUAAUUUAACAGGUAUCCAAUUGAUGUUACAUUGUUUCCAGUUUUUCUGUGGCUAUUUUUUUGUUACAUUUGAUUUUGCUAUUACAAAUACCAUCCUUGAAAAUAUAAUUUGUCAUACAUUAUGUAUUAUAUCUGUAGUCUCAAUUCUUAACUGUGGAAUUGCAAGAAUAAAUGAGAUAUGCAUUUGUGUCCUUUUGCUAUAAUA
rnacentral:lncRNA from 1 species